rnacentral:rRNA from 1 species
GGGGGUUCCGGCCCGGGGGCUGCGGCCGCCGGGUCUAAAGUUAGCUACCUGG